UACAGAGGGUGCAAGCGUUAAUCGGAAUCACUGGGCUUAAAGCGUUCGUAGGCGGGCUUGCAGGCGCGUUGUGAAAUCCCCCGGCUUAACCUGGGAACUGCGUCUGAUACUGGAAGGCUUGAGGAUGGGAGAGGGAUGUAGAAUUCCAGGUGUAGCGGUGAAAUGCGUAGAUAUCUGGAGGAAUACCGGUGGCGAAGGCGGCAUCCUGGACCAUUACUGACGCUGAGGCGCGAAAGCUAGGGGAGCAAACGGG
rnacentral:rRNA from 1 species